rnacentral:misc_RNA from 1 species
GUCCUCUCGUACUGGAUUCCGGUUCGGAAUCCGACGAAUCGAAGAGUAACAGUCUCAUUUACGCACCGUUCCGAGAGAAUCCAUCAGGAUCCAACGCCGCAUUUCGAGAGUACUAUUAUCUUAGUCUACGGAGAAUCCUCAUCGGGAGAAAGCCGGUGAAAUUCCCGUACAAGUAUCUCGUGCCGGACUCCACCGGGAACGGCGGCGCGAUCAUCGAUUCCGGUUCGACGUUUACGUUUCUGGAUAAGCCGAUUUUCGAAGCCGUAGCGGAAGAGUUGGAGAAGCAGCUGGUGAAAUAUCCUCGAGCUAAGGGCGUUGAAGCGCAGUCCG